CGUGCAGGCGGCCUGGUCAGUCCCGUGUGAAAGCCUACGGCUCAACUGUAGGAGGCCGCGGGAUACUGCCGGGCUCGAGGGCAGGAGAGGGAAGUAGAAUUCCCGGUGUAGCGGUGAAAUGCGUAGAUAUCGGGAGGAAUGCCAGUGGCGAAGGCGGCUUCCUGGCCUGCCCCUGACGCUGAGACGCGAAAGCGUGGGGGAGCGAACGGGAUUAGACUACCCCGGUAGUCCCAGCCGUAAACGAUGGUCACUAGGUGUUGGGGGGUACUCCCUCAGUGCCGAAGCUAACGCAUUAAGUGACCCGCCGUGGGAGUACGGCCGCAAGGUUGAA
rnacentral:rRNA from 1 species